rnacentral:lncRNA from 1 species
UAUCAGGCAGUGCUAUUAUCUUUGUGUUCUUAGAUAAUCAUUGCGAGCAAUGUUUUACCGAAAUAGGAAAGAGAGUAGCAGAGAAGUGAUGCCAAGUGUCAGGAAGAAAACAUUAAAUUGUCCUUGUCUUUUUUUAUUUCUGUACUUUUCGAAAUAAACUUACGUUUCUAUGAAAAUUGGAGUUUUUUUGCGGCCCACCUAAACUCAAACCUUUUUAUUUUGGCCCAUGUUAGUCUUUGAGUUUGACACCCUUGCUCUACAGGAACAAUAGAAUUCUUUUCAAACUUAAAAAUAAAAUGAACAAAUUUUUAGGGUUUACCAGUUACAUUAGUUAACAUCAUAAGAUCAACCGAAUCUAAAAUAUAUACAAAGUAAAAUAUCAUUAGCCAAAAUCAUAACCUCAAUACAAUCAAAAAUAUACAAUAAUAGAAUAAAUACAUAAAUGAAUACUUUACAGAAUAAAGUGGAGUACAUACUGCAAUUCUACUAAACUCAUUGCUAAAAAUGAGCUUCAGAGAUACCAGCUAAUUCGAGUACAGAUGGCUGGCACACAUGGGGGGCACACAUGGCUGGCACACAUGGGCUGGCAACAUGGGGCACUAUUAUACUAGUCUAUAUUGCAUUGAUAGCACACCAUCUCCAUGAGGAGGGGCAGCAUCACAGGUUCACUAUCAUUAAUGAUAUCAUGGGAGUGCCUUCUUUUUUCUAUUUCUAUCGCUUCUAUGGUAUUAAUACCUCUAGCACCACUACUGGUCUUGUUACACGGGCUUUGUCCCACUUGAUAACAUCUUGUUCAUAAGCCUUAAGAGCUAAUGCCAUGAUCAGUCUCCCUGCUUGUAUAUCUACCCUAUGUUCCUUUAACCUUCUACUGAAACAUCUCUUAGUACUACCGUAUAGUACUGACAAGGGAAGAAAGGGAAUUGUCCGACGCCAAUUUGGACCAGAAUUUGGG